UACGGGGGGGGCAAGCGUUGUUCGGAAUUACUGGGCGUAAAGGGCGCGUAGGCGGCCUUCUAAGUCGGACGUGAAAUCCCUCGGCUUAACCGAGGAACUGCGUCCGAUACUGAAAGGCUUGAAUCCGGGAGAGGGAUGUGGAAUUCCAGGUGUAGCGGUGAAAUGCGCAGAUAUCAGGAGGAACACCGAUGGCGAAGGCAGCUCACUGGGACGGUACUGACGCUGAGACGCGAAAGCGUGGGGAGCAAACAGG
rnacentral:rRNA from 1 species